GACGAACGCUGGCGGCGUGCCUAAUACAUGCAAGUUGAGCGCUGAAGGUUGGUACUUGUACCAACUGGAUGAGCAGCGAACGGGUGAGUAACGCGUGGGGAAUCUGCCUUUGAGCGGGGGACAACAUUUGGAAACGAAUGCUAAUACCGCAUAAAAACUUUAAACUCAAGUUUUAAGUUUGAAAGAUGCAAUUGCAUCACUCAAAGAUGAUCCCGCGUUGUAUUAGCUAGUUGGUGAGGUAAAGGCUCACCAAGGCGAUGAUACAUAGCCGACCUGAGAGGGUGAUCGGCCACAUUGGGACUGAGACACGGCCCAAACUCCUACGGGAGGCAGCAGUAGGGAAUCUUCGGCAAUGGACGAAAGUCUGACCGAGCAACGCCGCGUGAGUGAAGAAGGUUUUCGGAUCGUAAAACUCUGUUGGUAGAGAAGAACGUUGGUGAGAGUGGAAAGCUCAUCAAGUGACGGUAACUACCCAGAAAGGGACGGCUAACUACGU
rnacentral:rRNA from 1 species